CGGUCUGCCCCCGGAUGUUGAUGGCUGGGGUGUGUCCCUGAACGGCCUGAUGGGCAUGGUCGUCAUCGGCGGCCUGCUCAUUAUCGGCAUCUACUUCUCGCUGCAGCGCCUGGUGGUGCCCAAGCUGAAGUCGCUGCGCGAGGGCAAGAAGAAGAAGAACAAGACCAAGAUGAGCGUGGGCGAGUCCUUCGCCUUCCUGGCCCAGUCGAGCUACAUCCGCGACAUGGCCACCCUGGUGGUCGCCUACGGUAUCUCGAUCAACCUGGUCGAGGUGACCUGGAAGGGCAAGCUCAAGGCCCAGUUCCCCAACCCCAACGACUACUCGUCGUUCAUGGGCGAGUUCUCCACCGCCACCGGUACCGUGACCUUCACCAUGAUGAUCCUGUCCCGCUGGAUCUUCAAGCAGUUCGGCUGGGGUGUGGCUGCCCUGAUCACCCCCAUCAUGCUGCUGAUCACCGGUCUGCUGUUCUUCACCCUGGUGCUGGCCGGCGACACCGUCAAGCCCGCUCUGGCCGCCUGGGGCAUGACCCCCCUGUACGCCGCCGUGCUGGUCGGCGCCGCCCAGAACGUCUUCUCCAAGUCGUCCAAGUACUCCCUGUUCGACCCCUGCAAGGAGAUGGCCUACAUCCCCCUGGAGGACGAGGUCAAGACCAAGGGCAAGGCCGCCAUUGACGUGAUCUGCAACCCGCUGGGCAAGUCCGGCGGUGCCCUGAUCCAGCAGUUCAUGAUCAUCGGCCUGGGCUCGCUGGCCGCCUCGACCCCGUACCUGGGCGCCAUCCUGUGCGUCAUCAUCGUGGCCUGGAUCAACGCCGCCGCCUCGCUGAACAAGCAGUUCACGGCGCUGCAGGAGGAGACCGGCAUGUACAUCACCGGCGAGAAGCCCGCCAACAAGUCCGAGAAGAAGGACUAAGCGGCUCGGCCCUGACCGUGGUAGAGGGUCAGCCGUGACCAGACGCCCUGACGGGUCGGCCUGGGUGGUGGUGGUGUGUAGACGAGAGAGGUGAGAGAUCAGACGGCCUCGGCGGAGCUCGUGAAGAUUGGCCAUUGACGCAUUCAGUUGGUGCUGGAGACUCAUGACGAAGACACGGACUCAGGAGGACUGGUGGGCGCACUGCGGUCGGCACCCGGCGACGGCCUGUCUUGAGGAGUCGAGGGCGCGCGAUGGAGCAGCUGCAGCAGCGGGACGUAGUAGGGCACGUGCAUGCGCGACGCCGCGUGCGCGGUUUUAAGCUCUUGACUUGCGAGGGAGGGUGUGCUCUUGUUUUCCAUGGCCGGCGGGUAGAGAAAGACGCGUGUUUAUGACAUCUAUGGCAUGCGGCCCAGGGUCGGCUUGUGUGGCGUGCGAGACUUGGCUGGGACCAGUGCCGCCGGUUGCCAGCUGGCGGUGUUUGCCGACGGGGGCGCCGGCGGUCUGCCUAGACAGGCUCACGCUUGCAAAGCCCUACCCACCCGCUGGCAGUCUAUACAGAGAGCAGCAGGUUGGUGCCGUAGGUGCCAGAGCAAUUCAAAUUCUUUCUGAGAAACUCGAUUGGUCCGGCCUGAAUGAUUGCGGCCCAGCCCACCCUUGGAGAAGAACAAACGAUAGCCGGC
rnacentral:lncRNA from 1 species